UACGGGGGGGGCAAGCGUUGUUCGGAAUUACUGGGCGUAAAGGGCUCGUAGGUGGCCAACUAAGUCAGACGUGAAAUCCCUCGGCUUAACCGGGGAACUGCGUCUGAUACUGGAUGGCUUGAGUUCGGGAGAGGGAUGCGGAAUUCCAGGUGUAGCGGUGAAAUGUGUAGAUAUCUGGAGGAACACCGGUGGCGAAGGCGGCAUCCUGGACCGACACUGACGCUGAGGAGCGAAAGCCAGGGGAGCAAACAGG
rnacentral:rRNA from 1 species